UACGUAGGGUGCAAGCGUUGUUCGGAAUCAUUGGGCGUAAAGCGCGUGUAGGUGGCUAGUUAAGUCGGGUGUGAAAGCCCUGGGCUCAACCGAGGAAGUGCAUUCGAAACUAGCUGGCUAGAAGAUAGUAGAGGAAGGUGGAAUUCCAAGUGUAGAGGUGAAAUUCGUAGAUAUUUGGAGGAAUACCGGCGGCGAAGGCGGCCUUCUGGGCUAUUCUUGACACUGAGACGCGAAAGCGUGGGGAGCAAACAGG
rnacentral:rRNA from 1 species